GCGAAAGACAAAGAUCGAAAAUAAAGGACGAUACGAGAGAAGAGAAUGAAAAAAGAGAAGAGAGAAAACUAACGACAGACAGUGGCGGGUAUAGUCACCCCCGUAUACACAACCCUUUGCGAUACAAUAAUAAACAAUGAACGAUCUUACUUGGUCGACUCGUCUACUACGUGUGGAAUUGCACGGAGAUGAGAGGACGGCAGCCACUCAGACAUUCCGUUGCUCGUACGAACAGGUUUCCUACCGAUUGCAGAAAAAAAGCACUUAGACUUGAGUGCCCGAAAUCGAUGAAUACUAACCUCCGUGAAAACAUAAGUAAAAGAGAAAUGGAUGUAUCGAUCUCACCCCUAGGGACUUGCUGGGAUUAGUAUAUCACGGUAGCCACCCACGACGAACUAUGAAACACCAUGCAAUAGCGGAAGAAUCUUCUAAUAUUUAGUAAUAUUAUUUAGUGCCAUAGUAGUAGUGCCAUAGUAGUGCCAUAGUAUUUUUUAAAGAAUUUAAUCGAUAAUUUUUAAUAAUUUUACAUAUUUCAAUUAAAAUUUAUUUUAAUAUACAAUAAAAUUAUUGGAAUAUGUUAUUAUAAUUAUUAUAAAUAUUUAUAUAAUAAAUUAUAUAAAUUAUUAUAUAAUUUAUUAUAACAUAUUAAAUAAGAUAUCUUUAUAAUAUAUAAAGUAAUAAAAUAAUAAUAUAUUUUUCUAAAGUUCAUAAA